rnacentral:rRNA from 1 species
GAUGAACGCUGGCGGCGUGCUUAACACAUGCAAGUCGAACGAGAAGUGGAGACGGAAACCUUCGGGCGGAAGACUUUAUUUCGAGUGGCGGACGGGUGAGUAACGCGUGGGUAACCUGCCUCAUACAGGGGGAUAACAGUUGGAAACGACUGUUAAUACCGCAUAAGACCACAGCACCGCAUGGUGCGGGGGUAAAAACUCCGGUGGUAUGAGAUGGACCCGCGUUCGAUUAGCCAGUUGGCGGGGUAACGGCCCACCAAAGCGACGAUCGAUAGCCGAUCUGAGAGGAUGACCGGCCACAUUGGGACUGAGACACGGCCCAAACUCCUACGGGAGGCAGCAGUGGGGAAUAUUGCACAAUGGGGGAAACCCUGAUGCAGCGACGCCGCGUGAGUGAAGAAGUAUUUCGGUAUGUAAAGCUCUAUCAGCAGGGAAGAAAAUGACGGUACCUGAGUAAGAAGCCCCGGCUAACUACGUG